rnacentral:misc_RNA from 1 species
CCGAGUGAGGGUUUCGGCCCGACCUCCAACCCUUUGUGAAUCAAACCUGUUGCUUCGGGGGCGACCCUGCCGUUCGCGGCGCGGCGCCCCCGGGGGAAAUCAAACACUGCGUCAAUUUGUGUCGGAGUACUUGUUAAUAAACA